rnacentral:rRNA from 1 species
GUGGGGAAUAUUGGGCAAUGGGGGCAACCCUGACCCAGCGACGCCGCGUGAGGGAAGACGGCCUUCGGGUUGUAAACCUCUUUUGUACGGGAAGAAGGACGUGACGGUACCGUGCGAAUAAGUCCCGGCUAACUACGUGCCAGCAGCCGCGGUAAUACGUAGGGGACGCGCGGUGUCCGGAAUUACUGGGCGUAAAGGGCGCGCAGGCUGUAGAUCAAGUCAGCUGUGAAAUGUCUGGGCUUAACCCGGGCAUGCGGUUGAAACGGAGGUACUGGAGUGCUGGAGAGGCAAGUGGAAUUCCCAGUGUAGCGGUGAAAUGCGUAGAUAUUGGGAAGAACACCGGUGGCGAAGGCGACUUGCUGGGCAGCAACUGACGCUGAGGCGCGAAAGCCAGGGGAGCAAACGG